AUAGGGCCUUAGUAGUAUAAUUAAUACACUGGUCUUGUAAACCGGAGA
rnacentral:tRNA from 1 species